CGCUCUGACGCAGGCGUUUCCUGGCGUGGAGCGACUCGUCCUGGAGCUCCCCUGCACCGUCCUGGGAGGCGGGAGGCGUCAACCAGCUCACCAAAUACUGGCAGCUGAAGAAAAUGAGUGAAUGAAGAAGGAGGAAGCAGGAGAGACAAAGAAACAGGAUAUACAACACAGGUGAAAGAUUAAAAGGACUCCCCAGGAUGAUGUGAAGAGAGUUGCUAGAAUGACUACUGUGCAUCAAGCUUAAAAUCCAGACUGGGGCGUGUGACCCAAGCAACAUAUAUAGCAUCAUCUUUUUGAACUAAAAAUGGUUGAGUGAACCUGGCCCAGUGCUUAUCUGUACUUGGCUUUCCUGGGUCAGAGGAAGAUGAAGUACCGAUCUCCUCCUUCUUAGAUCAGCUGAGGACACUCCUUCCCUCCAUAAGGAUGUUCUGCCUGGACCUGUUCCUGAGAGCUAGAGGUUGGUCAAGUAAUAAAGCUGUAACUGGGCUGUUGCUAUCCAACGAGGAGCUACAUUUCUCAGCCUCCCCUUGCAGCCUGGAUUCUAAGUCGUUGCCAGUGAAAUGCCAUCAAGUUCUAGAUGAUCUUCAGUGAGAGAUACUGUCCUCUCAAUAUUCAAGUGUCAUCCUUCUACGGAGAAUCCCUAGACUGCUCAUCAGUGGAACAUGAAAGAGGUAAAAUCCUGUCUCAUCUCCCUUUGACCUGGCUGCAUACCACUUUCACCAACUCACAGAUCCAUCCUGCCCUGACAGCAAGAGGCCAAGACCCACAGAACAACCACUACCACCCCUCUGACAGCAGGAAGCAGUUACAGAAGACUGACCUCUGUCCAUUAUCCCAAAGAAUUGGGUCUUGGACUCUUGGUGGGUGGGAAUGUUAGAGUAGGUAGUUAGGCAGGCAUGAGGAGGGCAGUGGAGGAUCCCCUAUCCCAAGAAUGUCAGGCAACCAUCAAGUUAUGUCAGGUGGUUGUUCAACUGGCUCUCUGAAACGAUAAUUGGUUGCAGCUGGCUCCAUGGUAAGACGGUCUCCCAGUAGAUAGAAGACACCUGGAGCUGGUGAUCAGCAGCUUCCUGACAAGAUCUUAGAAGUUGGAUGAGCAGGCUCAAGCAUGUGAACUGAGAAUUAAAAUGACUGAUGUAUGAUGUUCCUCUGGAGGCAUUCCACCUGUAAAGGAAAAUCGCCUUCAGAGAGCAUGUGCACAAUCUUCGUAAAUAUACUACACAUGCGGUCACCCUCCUAACUGCUGACCGACAUUGCACAUGCAGUAGUUGAGCAACAGCCUGCUCCAAAGGAAGAUUCAAGGGAAGAGAAAAGGGAACCCCAGAGCCAUGUCAAUGUGUAAAACCCUCCAUCAAAGGCUGAAUGAGACACUUGGACCUCUCAAGUUGCCUGCUUGGCCCUCUUCCAAGUGUACUUUGCUUCCUUUUGCUUCUGUUCUAAAACAUCUUAAUAAAGUCUCAC